rnacentral:rRNA from 1 species
AUAUUUGAGAGUUUGAUCCUGGCUCAGGAUGAACGCUGGCGGCGUGCCUAACACAUGCAAGUCGAGCGAUUCCUUCGG